rnacentral:rRNA from 1 species
UAAGAAGGUGACGAGCGUUAUCCGGAAUUAUUGGGCGUAAAGCGCACGCAAGCGGUCUGUCAAGUCUGACGUGAAAUCUCUUGGCUUAACUGGGAGCGGUCGUUGGAAACUGAUAGGCUUGAGGCGAUGAGAGGGGUGCAGAAUUCCUGGUGUAGUGGUGGAAUGCGUAGAGAUCAGGAGGAAUACAUGUGGCGAAAGCGGAACCCUGGCGUAGUUCUGACGCUCAUGUGCGAAAGCGUGGGGAGCGAACGGG